CCUACGGGUGGCAGCAGUGGGGAAUAUUGCACAAUGGGGGAAACCCUGAUGCAGCAACGCCGCGUGGGUGAAGAAGUAUUUCGGUAUGUAAAGCCCUAUCAGCAGGGAAGAGAAUGACGGUACCUGACUAAGAAGCCCCGGCUAACUACGUGCCAGCAGCCGCGGUAAUACGUAGGGGGCAAGCGUUAUCCGGAUUUACUGGGUGUAAAGGGAGCGUAGACGGUUGUGCAAGUCUGAAGUGAAAGCCCGCGGCUCAACUGCGGAACGGCUUUGGAAACUGUGUAACUGGAGUGCUGGAGAGGUAAGCGGAAUUCCUAGUGUAGCGGUGAAAUGCGUAGAUAUUAGGAAGAACACCAGUGGCGAAGGCGGCUUUCUGGACUGAAACUGACGCUGAGGCACGAAAGCGUGGGGAGCGAACAGGAUUAGAUACCCGAGUAGUC
rnacentral:rRNA from 1 species